rnacentral:rRNA from 1 species
ACGCUGGCGGCGUGCUUAACACAUGCAAGUCGAACGAGAAAGCACUUCGGUGCGAGUACAGUGGCGAACGGGUGAGUAACACGUGGGCAACCUGCCCUGGAGAGCGGGACAACCCGAGGAAACUCGGGCUAAUACCGCAUGAUGCGUCCUGGCGUAAGUCAGGCCGCCAAAUGGUAGCUCUUCGGAGCCUCCGCUCUGGGAUGGGCCCGCGCCGGAUUAGCUAGUUGGUUGGGGUAAUGGCCCACCAAGGCGACGAUCCGUAGCUGGUCUGAGAGGACGAUCAGCCACACUGGGACUGAGACACGGCCCAGACUCCUACGGGAGGCAGCAGUGGGGAAUCUUGCGCAAUGGGCGAAAGCCUGACGCAGCAACGCCGCGUGAGGGAAGAAGGCCUUCGGGUUGUAAACCUCUUUCAGGAGGGACGAAGCUUCCGGGGUUAAUAGCCUACGGGGUGACGGUACCUCCAGAAGAAGCCCCGGCUAACUACGUGCCAGCAGCCGCGGUAAUACGUAGGGGGCAAGCGUUGUCCGGAAUCAUUGGGCGUAAAGCGCGUGUAGGCGGCUUGGUAAGUCUGGCGUGAAAUCUUGGGGCUCAACCCCAAGCCUGCGCUGGAUACUGCCUCGCUCGAGUCCGGGAGAGGAAAGCGGAAUUCCCAGUGUAGCGGUGAAAUGCGCAGAUAUUGGGAAGAACACCGAUGGCGAAGGCAGCUUUCUGAUACGGUAC